rnacentral:rRNA from 1 species
GCAAGUCGAACGCUCACUUCGGUGAGAGUGGCAGACGGGUGAGUAACGCGUGGGAAUUUACCCAGCUCUACGGAACAACUCAGGGAAACUUGAGCUAAUACCGUAUACGCCCUUUUGGGGAAAGAUUUAUCGGAGUUGGAUGAGCCCGCGUUUGAUUAGCUAGUUGGUGGGGUAAUGGCCUACCAAGCCUACGAUCUAUAGCUGGUUUGAGAGGAUGAUC